CGCUGGCGGCGCGCCUAACACAUGCAAGUCGAACGAGCGAGAGAGAGCUUGCUUUCUCAAGCGAGUGGCGAACGGGUGAGUAACGCGUGAGGAACCUGCCUCAAAGAGGGGGACAACAGUUGGAAACGACUGCUAAUACCGCAUAAGCCCACGACCCGGCAUCGGGUAGAGGGAAAAGGAGCAAUCCGCUUUGAGAUGGCCUCGCGUCCGAUUAGCUAGUUGGUGAGGUAACGGCCACCAAGGCGACGAUCAGUAGCCGGCCUGAGAGGGUGAACGGCCACAUUGGGACUGAGACACGGCCCAAACUCCUACGGGAGGCAGCAGUGGGGAAUAUUGCACAAUGGGGGAAACCCUGAUGCAGCGACGCCGCGUGAGUGAUGAAGUAUUUCGGUAUGUAAAACUCUAUCAGCAGGGAAGAUAAUGACGGUACCUGACUAAGAAGCACCGGCUAAAUACGUG
rnacentral:rRNA from 1 species